GAGGUUGUAGCUCAGUGGUAGAGUGCUCACCUACCAUGCAUGAGGCACUGCGUUUGAUCCUCAGCACCACA
rnacentral:tRNA from 1 species